GAUCAUGGCUCAGGAUGAACGCUGGCGGCGUGCCUAACACAUGCAAGUCGAACGAUUAAACCGCCUUCGGGCGGAUAUAAAGUGGCGAACGGGUGAGUAACACGUGACCAACCUACCCCGCACAUCGGGACAGCCCUCCGAAAGGGGGAUUAAUACCGAAUACUCCGUAUUUUUUCGCAUGAUUAAUACGGGAAAGCUUUUGCGGUGCGGGAUGGGGUCGCGGCCCAUCAGGUAGUAGGCGGGGCAGCGGCCCGCCUAGCCAACGACGGGUAGCCGGGUUGAGAGACCGACCGGCCACAUUGGGACUGAGAUACGGCCCAGACUCCUACGGGAGGCAGCAGUGGGGAAUAUUGCGCAAUGGGGGCAACCCUGACACAGCAAACCGCCGCGUGCGGGAUGAAGGCAUUCGUGUCGUAAACCGCUUUCAGCAGGGAAGACAUCGACGGUACCUGCAGAAGAAGCCCCGGCUAACUACGUGCCAGCAGCUGC
rnacentral:rRNA from 1 species